AGGGCCGCAGUCGCUUCGCCUAGCCUGCGAGUCUCAGAGGAAAAAGGGGCUCCAGAAGUGCGUCCCCCGGGCCGCUCACCCGACCCUGCAAUUGUGGGGGGAAGAGAAUAGAGGAGUGAAGAAGGGUGCAUUUUCCAUCUCACCUCAGUCCUCGGCUAGGAAAACCACGUAGCCCUGACCAGUGGGCUCAAGGCCCUGCUGGAAACUGGUUCUGAGUGUAUAUGUCUCAGCUUGAGAUGAGAAAUUGAGAGCAAGUAACAAGCGUAUUUUUUCAACUUAUAGAUGGACGACGUCCUGGAUUUAAAAUAUUUACUAAAAGGAUGAGCGACUUGUGGAGUCUUGGUCCCUCGACCAGAAGUCCGGCCUGAGGCUCUGGGGUGGGAGCACUGACUCCAGGAUGCUGAACCACUAGAGAAUUCCUGGCCCCAGGGAAGAUUAAUCACUGAGAAGUCUCAUGGGGGCCUCUAUCUGAAUCCCAGUCCUGGCUCCACCCAACUGUCAGCAUGUCAGCAGCUCCCAGCGCUGGACACCUCACACCAAACAACAAAUAAGACAGGAACACAAACCAACCCAUCAGCACACACACUACCUAAAGUCAUACUAAGCUCAAAGACACGCCAAAACACACCACCUGACAUGGCCCUGCUCAUCAGAGGGAAGAGACUCAGCUCCAUGCACCAGAACACAGGCAACAGUCCCUCCCAUCAGGAAGCCUAUGCAAGGCACUGGACCAACCUCACCACUGGGGGCAGAGAAGAGAAGAGGAACUAUGAUGCUGCAGCCUGGGGAAAGGAAACCUCAAAUACGGUAAAUUAGACAAAAUGAGAAGACAGAGAAAUAUCUUACAGGCAAGGAGCAAGAUAAAAACCCACAAGACCAAAUAAAUGAAGAGGAAAUAGGCAAACUACCUGAAAAAGAAUUCUGAGUAAUGAAAGUAAAGAUGAUCAAAAUCUUGGAAAUAGAGAAAAUACAAGAAACGUUUAACAAGGACCUAGAAGAACUAAACAGCAAACAGACAGUAAUGAACAACACAAUAACUGAAAUUAAAAAUACUCUAGAAGGAAUCAAUAGCAGAAUAACUGAGGCAGAAGAAUGGAUAAGUGAGCUGGAAGAUACAAUGGUGGAAAUAACUGUCACAGAGCAGAAUAAAGAAAAAAGAAGGAAAAGAAUGGAGGACAGUCUGAGACUUCUGGGACAACAGUAAGCACACCAGCAUUCGAAUUACAGGCAUCCCAGAAGAAGAAGGAAAAAGAAAGGGUCUGAGAAAAUAUUUGAAGAGAUUAUAGUCGAAAACUUCCCCAACACAGAAAAGGAAAUAGUCAAUCAAGUCCAGGAAGUGCAGAGAGUCCCAUACAGGAAAAAUCCAAGGAGAAACAUGCGGAGACACAUAUUAAUCAAACUAACAAAAAUUUAACACAAAGAAAAAAUAUUAAAAGCAGCAAGGGAAAAGCAACAAAAAACAUACAAGGGAAUCCCCAUAAGGUUAACUGCUGAUCUUUCAGCAGAAACUCUACAGGCCAGAAGGCAGUGGCAAGAUAUAUUUAAAGUG